AUUUCCCUCUUUCUUUAGGCCUAACACAUGCAAGUCGAACGGCAGCACAGUAAGAGCUUGCUCUUACGGGUGGCGAGUGGCGGACGGGUGAGGAAUACAUCGGAAUCUACUUUUUCGUGGGGGAUAACGUAGGGAAACUUACGCUAAUACCGCAUACGACCUACGGGUGAAAGCAGGGGAUCUUCGGACCUUGCGCGAUUGAAUGAGCCGAUGUCGGAUUAGCUAGUUGGCGGGGUAAAGGCCCACCAAGGCGACGAUCCGUAGCUGGUCUGAGAGGAUGAUCAGCCACACUGGAACUAAGACACGGUCCAGACUCCUACGGGAGGCAGCAGUGGGGAAUAUUGGACAAUGGGCGCAAGCCUGAUCCAGCCAUACCGCGUGGGUGAAGAAGGCCUUCGGGUUGUAAAGCACUUUUGUUGGGAAAGAAAAGCAGCAGGUUAAUACCCCGCUGUUCUGACGGUACCCAAAGAAUAAGCACCGGCUAACUUCGUG
rnacentral:rRNA from 1 species